UACGGAAGGGGCUAGCGUUGUUCGGAAUUACUGGGCGUAAAGAGCGCGUAGGCGGCUUACCAAGUUGGGGGUGAAAUCCCGGAGCUCAACUCCGGAACUGCCUUCAAAACUGGUAGGCUCGAGUCCGGAAGAGGGGCGUGGAAUUCCCAGUGUAGAGGUGAAAUUCGUAGAUAUUGGGAAGAACACCGGUGGCGAAGGCGGCGCCCUGGUCCGGUACUGACGCUCAGGUGCGAAAGCGUGGGGAUCAAACAGG
rnacentral:rRNA from 1 species